rnacentral:lncRNA from 1 species
UGGGGUUAGCACAGUGCAGCUUUAUUUCCAUGGAGGGGGCAGAGCUUCUCUCUCCCCCGUGGGCUCCAAACCCUCCUGCUGGCCCAUGGCCACACCCCGCGGCCAGCUGAGCACCCCUGCUCCCCAGGCAUGGACAGAACAGCCUUAAUCCCCCUCGUCUACUUCCACAGCCCCUCGGAUUCCCCAAAUCAGGACGGCCAGGGAAGGGCCAGCCACCCCCAGCGACCCCCUGGGCACGGAGAGGCCACCCAGGUCCUGCUGGAACGGGGAACGGGGCACCGGGAGAGGGGGCUGCCAGGCCGGGGCUGGCUGAGGAGCAUCUCCCAGGCGUUGUGUGGGAUCUUUGAUCCCUCCUGGAAUCCCAGCAGGGCCACACCUCGCUCAGGGCCACUGUCACCAGCCGGGCAGGGACGGGGCACCGCGGAAGCAGAGAGCGGCUGCGGGGCUGGAGGCCCAAAAAAAGGGGGCUGCACACACGGGGGGUCUCCACCUCCCCUUCCCUUUUUAGGGGGGGUGUUCUUGGGACUGCCACGCGGAGAGGAACAAAGCCAGCACUUGGGUCUGGUGCCUGGAAACCCCCUGACGGACACAGCUCAGCUACAGGGACACACACACACACACACGCGCGCUGGACCACGGGCAGCGCUCCCCGGGGGACACGGACGGGGGGGGACGGAUUGGGAAGGGGCAGGAGGAGUGGAGGGAAGGGGAGAGAGGGUCAAAGCUCUGCCGUGGCACCGGGCAGAGCCGCCCCGAGCGGGGGCCGAGGGCAGGUCCCGCCAUGCCCCGUCCCGUCCCCUCGUGCCCCGCGGGCAGGGCGGGCAGCGGGCACCGCGCGGAGCCGGCUCAGCCCUCCCACCCCCCAUCCCUCCCUCCCGGGCUGCAAAGAGAGAACCGAAAAGUGCUUAGAAAAGAGAGAAACCCCUAGAAAACUCCCCCCCCACACCGACACGCCACCUCUCCCCGGCCCAGAGCUCAGCGCCGCGGUGCCCGGAGCAUCCCCGCGGAGGGAAGGGGGGGCCGGGGCCG